GACGAACGCUGGCGGCGUGCUUAACACAUGCGAGUCGAACGAAGCUUGAUUACGGAUUCUUCGGAUGAAGUAUGAUAUGACUGAGUGGCGGACGGGUGAGUAACGCGUGAGUAACCUGCCCUUCAGAGGGGGAUAGCGUUUGGAAACGAACGGUAAUACCGCAUAAUGUAUUUUGACCGCAUGAUCGAAAUACCAAAGAUUUAUCGCUGAAGGAUGGACUCGCGUCUGAUUAGGUAGUUGGUGGGGUAACGGCCUACCAAGCCGACGAUCAGUAGCCGGAGUGAGAGGUUGAGCGGCCAAAUUGGGAGUGAGACACGGCUCGGACACCUUCGGGAAGGGGCAGAGGGGAGUAUUGCAAAAUGGGCGCGAGCCUGAUGCAGCAACGGCGCGUGAAGGAAGGCGGUUUUCGGAUUGUAAACUUCUGUUCUUAGUGAAGAAUAAUGACGGUAGCUAAGGAGCAAGCCACGGCUAACUACGUG
rnacentral:rRNA from 1 species